UACGAAGGGGGCUAGCGUUGCUCGGAAUCACUGGGCGUAAAGCGCACGUAGGCGGAUUGCUAAGUCAGGGGUGAAAUCCUGGAGCUCAACUCCAGAACUGCCUUUGAUACUGGCGAUCUUGAGUCCGGGAGAGGUGAGUGGAACUGCGAGUGUAGAGGUGAAAUUCGUAGAUAUUCGGAAGAACACCAGUGGCGAAGGCGGCUCACUGGCCCGGUACUGACGCUGAGAUACGAAAAGCGUGGGGAGCAAACAGG
rnacentral:rRNA from 1 species